AAUAUUUCAGGGGCGUUGAAUAUUUCGGUAAAUUGAGGGAUAUUUCAGGUAAAUUGUUGAGAAAGUGGGGUGGUGUGUGAUGGAGGUGGGGGGCGUUGAGCAUUUUCCUAAAACGUAUUUUGGGUGAUAGAAGCCCAUUAUUUUGAUUAGGACACAAAAAUAAAGUCUAUUACGAUGGAUCUCAUGAUUGAUGUACUGAGAUGUGUUUUGCUAAGAAUUGUUUUUUAUCAGAUAAAAAGCAUUCCAUUGGAGAUGAAUAAGCGGUAUUGGAGGAGGGAACAACCAUAAUUGAUGCUAGUGCAAUAAGACUUGAUGAAGGCGGCACUUGCCUUCAAGCUUGAAACUGAUUGACCAUGAGAGUCAUAUCACAUGAAUGAGUGUGUGGCAAUUCAUUGGGAUGACGGACGGGGUACUUACUUGAGCAAGGGGUAAGCCUUCUCUUCUCUACCUUCAUUCAAAUCAUCAAAAGGCGAAUUCCCAUAGAAAGAGGUUAGUUGCACUUAUCAAUAGCAGCGGAGUCCCCCUUUGAAAGCGCUAAUUCAAUAGCAAUCUUCUCGUCACCGCAGAAAAGUUAUUACAGGUUAAUGAGUCUUGAAGUUCAAGUUUGGGAGAAACCCCGCUCUGACAGGUCAUCACUUGAGCUAUCGAAUCGGAUUGAUGCAUGCGAGCAGGCGUAUGAAAGCUAAAAAUCAGAGCUACAACUUUUGCGUUGGAAUAAAAGCCUAUUGCCGAACUUUACUUGUCUUAAAUUGCAGAAUUCGUAAUCUGGACUUUUGUAAUAAUUUUAAGUAGCGAACCACUUGUUUUAAAAGCCCAAAAUCGAGUAGUAUAUGUUGGGAGUUUCUUUCCUUUCUUAGACACGCUGUAUUUUCAUAUUCAAAAAACAUAUAAACACUUUUUAUUUUUAUUUCAUGGAAGGCUAAUUUCAUUAGAUUAAUCCAGGAGUUCAAAGUUUCGUCAA